rnacentral:rRNA from 1 species
GACGGAGGAUGCAAGUGUUAUCCGGAAUCACUGGGCGUAAAGCGUCUGUAGGUGGCUUUUAAGUCCGCCGUCAAAUCCCAGGGCUCAACCCUGGACAGGCGGUGGAAACUACCAAGCUGGAGUACGGUAGGGGCAGAGGGAAUUUCCGGUGGAGCGGUGAAAUGCGUAGAGAUCGGAAAGGACACCAACGGCGAAAGCACUCUGCUGGGCCGACACUGACACUGAGAGACGAAAGCUAGGGGAGCGAAUGGG